GUUAUAGAGACUUUUGGACAUAUUAUUGUCGAUAAGUCUAGUUUAUAUUCUUUUCUUAUAUUUGUUGAUAACCUUAGCGUUAUAUUUUUUAUCUUAUUAUAGGAAUUAAGAUGUGAACUUUCAUCAUUUGCUGGUUCAAUUGACUGUCAUUGCUGCGUACGAUGCUGGUUCCCUCAGAUAUUCCUUUUCUUCUGGUAUAGAUGAUAUAAACAAUUAACAUAGUCACUUUCAUCUCCUUGACCAUAGCUUGCAUGCUUCCACCAUUUUAACUGCUGUUUUCUGUUGGUGUUGCCACCAGAAACUGUUUUUAUUCAGUGUUCUUGUUAUUGAUAAGCAAGGGAGAAAUGGUUGAACUUGCCAUGCAUACAGCAACCAUUGCAAUGUUAUCUUGGUCAUAGGGUCUAGUACAAGGUUGGCCGAAAGAAGAGGAGCAAUACAAGGUAGGUGACAGAACAAAAAAGAAUCGACAAACUACUGCUAAUUCAAAUGCUCUAAAGCUUAGUUGUGAACUCAUUCGCAUUUUUGUCACAGAGGCUGUGGAACGUUCUUGUAUGAUAGCUGAAGCAGAGGGUAUUAAUAAAAUUGAACCUACUCAUUUAGAGAGAGUACUUCCACAAUUGCUUCUGGAUUUUUAAGCUGUUGAUGGCGAAAUCAGAAGGGCACUUUGAGGCCGGACACUAGAAAGAAAUUAAAGCCCAUCUUUUGUUUUCAGUCAGCCUGGAAUUCCAUUGUCAGUUUGCCUACGUGGAUUUGGACUAAGCUGCAAGUCUUCCAUCUGACCAAGUUUGCUGGUUGAUCAGUUGUCCUGGUGGCUGGUGGAAAAUAAUUGAAGUAGGAUGACUUUGUUAAAGUAGAAAAGGCUUAGAUCCUAUAUAUUCCUCAGUUUUUCUCAAGUUUAAAGGAGGAAGCUGAAUGACUUCAUUGAUUAAAUACUUGCCCUGCUAAAAACUAUGGUUAUUUUCA